rnacentral:lncRNA from 1 species
CUCGGCUACCUGGGGAUGAUCUCUCCUUCCUAGAUAAGGAUGAGGGGGAGGAGGAAGCUGAAGGGGAGCCGAUUCUUUCAGAGUUUUCCAUCACUGAGGGAUUGUCUGGGAGUGAAAAGAUGAUAGUGGAGGUCUCUUCAUCGCUCAUUGUCAGUAUUUCGAUCUCAGGGGUAGCUCCUUCAACUGAAGCACCCUUGGGUCCGUCAGCAGUCACUCCAAGCUCUCUCGGCUCUUAUGAUGAGGUCAAAAAAUAAGAUGCCUUGUAUUUUUCUUUUUUAUUUAUUCUUGUAAGAAUUUUUGUCAAUAAAAUG